rnacentral:rRNA from 1 species
UACGUAGGGUCCGAGCGUUGUCCGGAAUUACUGGGCGUAAAGAGCUCGUAGGCGGUUUGUCGCGUUGUUCGUGAAAACUCACAGCUUAACUGUGGGCGUGCGGGCGAUACGGGCAGACUAGAGUACUGCAGGGGAGACUGGAAUUCCUGGUGUAGCGGUGGAAUGCGCAGAUAUCAGGAGGAACACCGGUGGCGAAGGCAGGUCGCUGGGCAGUAACUGACGCUGAGGAGCGAAAGCGUGGGGAGCGAACAGG